UGGGGAAUAUUGGACAAUGGGCGCAAGCCUGAUCCAGCUAUGCCGCGUGAGUGAUGAAGGCCCUAGGGUUGUAAAGCUCUUUCACCGGUGAAGAUAAUGACGGUAACCGGAGAAGAGGCCCCGGCUAACUUCGUGCCAGCAGCCGCGGUAAUACGAAGGGGGCUAGCGUUGUUCGGAUUUACUGGGCGUAAAGCGCACGUAGGCGGACUUUUAAGUCAGGGGUGAAAUCCCGGGGCUCAACCCCGGAACUGCCUUUGAUACUGGAAGUCUUGAGUAUGGUAGAGGUGAGUGGAAUUCCGAGUGUAGAGGUGAAAUUCGUAGAUAUUCGGAGGAACGCCAGUGGCGAAGGCGGCUCACUGGACCAUUACUGACGCUGAGGUGCGAAAGCGGGGGGAGCAAACAGG
rnacentral:rRNA from 1 species